ACUCAAAUGAAUUGACGGGGGCCCGCACAAGCAGCGGAGCGUGUGGUUUAAUUCGAGGCUACGCGAAGAACCUUACCUGGGUUUGACAUCCUCUGAACGAAGGUGAAAGCCGGAGGUUCCCGCAAGGGACAGAGAGACAGGUGCUGCAUGGCUGUCGUCAGCUCGUGUCGUGAGAUGUUCGGUUAAGUCCGAAAACGAGCGCAACCCUCGGCGUAUGUUACAGGUGUCAUACGCGACUGCCCUCGGCAAGGGGGAGGAAGGUGGGGAUGACGUCAAGUCAGCAUGGCCUUUAUAUCCAGGGCUACACACACGCUACAAUGGGCAGUACAGUGGGAAGCGAGGCGGUGACGCGGAGCGGAUCCUAAAAAGCUGUUCGUAGUUCGGAUUGCAGGCUGCAACUCGCCUGCAUGAAGUCGGAGUUGCUAGUAACCGCAAAUCAGCACGUUGCGGUGAAUACGUUCCCGGGCCUUGCACACACCGCCCGU
rnacentral:rRNA from 1 species